CGUAAAAUUGCAGUUGAUACUGGAUAUCUUGAGUGCAGUUGAGGCAGGCGGAAUUCGUGGUGUAGCGGUGAAAUGCUUAGAUAUCACGAAGAACUCCGAUUGCGAAGGCAGCCUGCUAAGCUGCAACUGACAUUGAGGCUCGAAAGUGUGGGUAUCAAACAGGAUUAGAUACCCUGGUAGUCCACACGGUAAACGAUGAAUACUCGCUGUUUGCGAUAUACAGCAAGCGGCCAAGCGAAAGCGUUAAGUAUUCCACCUGGGGAGUACGCCGGCAACGGUGAAACUCAAAGGAAUUGACGGGGGCCCGCACAAGCGGAGGAACAUGUGGUUUAAUUCGAUGAUACGCGAGGAACCUUACCCGGGCUUAAAUUGCAGAUGAAUUACGGUGAAAGCCGUAAGCCGCAAGGCAUCUGUGAAGGUGCUGCAUGGUUGUCGUCAGCUCGUGCCGUGAGGUGUCGGCUUAAGUGCCAUAACGAGCGCAACCCUUGUUGUCAGUUACUAACAGGUUCCGCUGAGGACUCUGACAAGACUGCCAUCGUAAGAUGUGAGGAAGGUGGGGAUGACGUCAAAUCAGCACGGCCCUUACGUCCGGGGCUACACACGUGUUACAAUGGGGGGUACAGAGGGCCGCUACCACGCGAGUGGAUGCCAAUCCCAAAAACCUCUCUCAGUUCGGACUGGAGUCUGCAACCCGACUCCACGAAGCUGGAUUCGCUAGUAAUCGCGCAUCAGCCAUGGCGCGGUGAAUACGUUCCCGGGCCUUGUACACACCGCCCGUCAAGCCAUGAAAGCCGGGGGUACCUGAAGUACGUAACCGCAAGGAGCGUCCUAGGGUAAAACUGGUAAUUGGGGC
rnacentral:rRNA from 1 species